rnacentral:rRNA from 1 species
GAUGAACGCUAGCGGGAGGCCUAACACAUGCAAGCCGAGCGGUAUUGUUUCUUCGGAAAUGAGAGAGCGUCUUACGGGUGCGGAACACGUGUGCAACCUGCCUUUAUCUGGGGGAUAGCCUUUCGAAAGGAAGAUUAAUACUCCAUAACAUAUUGAUUGGCAUCAAUUAAUAUUGAAAGCUCCGGCGGAUAGAGAUGGGCACGCGCAAGAUUAGCUAGUUGGUGAGGUAACGGCUCACCAAGGCGAUGAUCUUUAGGGGGCCUGAGAGGGUGAUCCCCCACACUGGUACUGAGACACGGACCAGACUCCUACGGGAGGCAGCAGUGAGGAAUAUUGGUCAAUGGGUGCAAGCCUGAACCAGCCAUCCCGCGUGAAGGACGACUGCCCUAUGGGUUGUAAACUUCCUUUGUAUAGGGAUAAACCUACCCUCGUGAGGGUAGCUGAAGGUACUAUACGAAUAAGCACCGGCUAACUCCGUGCCAGCAGCCGCGGUAAUACGGAGGGUGCAAGCGUUAUCCGGAUUUAUUGGGUUUAAAGGGUCCGUAGGCGGACUUAUAAGUCAGUGGUGAAAGCCUGUCGCUUAACGAUAGAACUGCCAUUGAUACUGUAAGUCUUGAGUAUAUUUGAGGUAGCUGGAAUAAGUAGUGUAGCGGUGAAAUGCAUAGAUAUUACUUAGAACACCAAUUGCGAAGGCAGGUUACCAAGAUAUAACUGACGCUGAGGGACGAAAGCGUGGGGAGCGAACAGGAUUAGAUACCCUGGUAGUCCACGCCGUAAACGAUGCUAACUCGUUUUUGGGCUUUAGGGUUCAGAGACCAAGCGAAAGUGAUAAGUUAGCCACCUGGGGAGUACGCUCGCAAGAGUGAAACUCAAAGGAAUCGACGGGGGCCCGCACAAGCGGUGGAUUAUGUGGUUUAAUUCGAUGAUACGCGAGGAACCUUACCAAGACUUAAAUGGGAAUUGACAGCUUUAGAAAUAGAGCUUUCUUCGGACAAUUUUCAAGGUGCUGCAUGGUUGUCGUCAGCUCGUGCCGUGAGGUGUUAGGUUAAGUCCUGCAACGAGCGCAACCCCUGUCACUAGUUGCCAUCAUUCAGUUGGGGACUCUAGUGAGACUGCCUACGCAAGUAGAGAGGAAGGUGGGGAUGACGUCAAAUCAUCACGGCCCUUACGUCUUGGGCCACACACGUAAUACAAUGGCCGGUACAGAGGGCAGCUACACAGCGAUGUGAUGCAAAUCUCGAAAGCCGGUCUCAGUUCGGAUUGGAGUCUGCAACUCGACUCUAUGAAGCUGGAAUCGCUAGUAAUCGCGCAUCAGCCAUGGCGCGGUGAAUACGUUCCCGGGCCU